GCCUUUGUAGCUCAGUGGUAGAGCAUCUCCUUGGUAAGGCGAAGGUAGUGGGUUCGAAUCCCGCCAAAGGCU
rnacentral:tRNA from 1 species